GAUGAACGCUGGCGGCGUGCCUAAUACAUGCAAGUCGAGCGAACAGACGAGGAGCUUGCUCCUCUGACGUUAGCGGCGGACGGGUGAGAAACACGUGGAUAACCUACCUAUAAGACUGGGAUAACUUCGGGAAACCGGAGCUAAUACCGGAUAAUAUAUUGAACCGCAUGGUUCAAUAGUGAAAGACGGUUUUGCUGUCACUUAUAGAUGGAUCCGCGCCGCAUUAGCUAGUUGGUAAGGUAACGGCUUACCAAGGCGACGAUGCGUAGCCGACCUGAGAGGGUGAUCGGCCACACUGGAACUGAGACACGGUCCAGACUCCUACGGGAGGCAGCAGUAGGGAAUCUUCCGCAAUGGGCGAAAGCCUGACGGAGCAACGCCGCGUGAGUGAUGAAGGUCUUCGGAUCGUAAAACUCUGUUAUUAGGGAAGAACAAAUGUGUAAGUAACUAUGCACGUCUUGACGGUACCUAAUCAGAAAGCCACGGCUAACUACGUG
rnacentral:rRNA from 1 species